AGUCAAUAGAUACCCGGGGUAGUCCAUGCCGUAAACGAUGAUUGCUAGGUGUGGGGGGGUCUGACCCCUUCCGUGCCGGAGUUAAACACAAAUAAGCAAUCCACCUGGGGAGUACGGCCGCAAGGUUGAAACUCAAAGGAAUUGACGGGGGCCCGCACAAGCAGUGGAGUAUGUGGUUUAAUUCGAAGCAACGCGAAGAACCUUACCAGGUCUUGACAUCCACCGAAUCCUGUAGAGAUACGGGAGUGCCCUUCGGGGAACGGUGAGACAGGUGGUGCAUGGUUGUCGUCAGCUCGUGUCGUGAGAUGUUGGGUUAAGUCCCGCAACGAGCGCAACCCUUGUGAAUAGUUGCUACGAAACGAGCACUCUAUUCAGACCGCCGUUGACAAAACGGAGGAAGUGGGGAUGACGUCAAAUCAUCAUGCCCCUUAUGACCUGGGCUACACACGUACUACAAUGGCCGUUAACGAGAGGGAUGCAAUGCCGCGAGGUGGAGCG
rnacentral:rRNA from 1 species